GAUUGAGGCGUGCAGGCCUAACACAUGCAAGUCGAGCGGUAGCACAGAGAGCUUGCUCUCGGGUGACGAGCGGCGGACGGGUGAGUAAUGUCUGGGAAACUGCCUGAUGGAGGGGGAUAACUACUGGAAACGGUAGCUAAUACCGCAUAACGUCGCAAGACCAAAGAGGGGGACCUUCGGGCCUCUUGCCAUCAGAUGUGCCCAGAUGGGAUUAGCUAGUAGGUGGGGUAACGGCUCACCUAGGCGACGAUCCCUAGCUGGUCUGAGAGGAUGACCAGCCACACUGGAACUGAGACACGGUCCAGACUCCUACGGGAGGCAGCAGUGGGGAAUAUUGCACAAUGGGCGCAAGCCUGAUGCAGCCAUGCCGCGUGUAUGAAGAAGGCCUUCGGGUUGUAAAGUACUUUCAGCGGGGAGGAAGGCGUUGAGGUUAAUAACCUCAUCGAUUGACGUUACCCGCAGAAGAAGCACCGGCUAACUCCGUGCCAGCAGCCGCGGUAAUACGGAGGGUGCAAGCGUUAAUCGGAAUUACUGGGCGUAAAGCGCACGCAGGCGGUCUGUCAAGUCGGAUGUGAAAUCCCCGGGCUCAACCUGGGAACUGCAUUCGAAACUGGCAGGCUAGAGUCUUGUAGAGGGGGGUAGAAUUCCAGGUGUAGCGGUGAAAUGCGUAGAGAUCUCCAGGAAUACGGUGGCGAAGCGGCCCCUGGACAAGACUGACGCUCAGUGCGAAAGCGUGGGGAGCAAACAGGAUUAGAUACCCUGGUAGUCCACGCCGUAACGAUGUCGACUGAGUUGUGCCCUUGAGCGUGCUUCCGAGCUAACGCGUAAGUCGACGCUGGGGAGUACGCCGCAAGUAAAACUCAAAUGAUGACGGGGGCCCGCACAGCGUGGAGCAUGUGGUUUAAUCGAUGCAACGCGAGAAACUACUACUCUGGACAUCAGAGAACUUCAAGAAUGGAUUGGUGCAUCGGAACUCUGAAACGGUCUGCAUGCUGUCGUCAGCUCGUGUUGUGAAAUGUUGGGUUAAGUCCCGCAACGAGCGCAACCCUUAUCCUUUGUUGCCAGCGGUCCGGCCGGGAACUCAAAGGAGACUGCCAGUGAUAAACUGGAGGAAGGUGGGGAUGACGUCAAGUCAUCAUGGCCCUUACGAGUAGGGCUACACACGUGCUACAAUGGCGCAUACAAAGAGAAGCGACCUCGCGAGAGCAAGCGGACCUCAUAAAGUGCGUCGUAGUCCGGAUUGGAGUCUGCAACUCGACUCCAUGAAGUCGGAAUCGCUAGUAAUCGUAGAUCAGAAUGCUACGGUGAAUACGUUCCCGGGCCUUGUACACACCGCCCGUCACACCAUGGGAGUGGGUUGCAAAAGAAGUAGUAGCUUAACCCUUCGGGAGGGCGCUACCACUUUGUGAUUCAUGACUGGGGUGAAGUCGUACAGGGUUAGCUCGUAACGU
rnacentral:rRNA from 1 species